rnacentral:tRNA from 1 species
GGGACGGCUGGCACGGAUCGGUGGAGCGGGCCUUCCCGGCCUGCGGUUUCAGGGAGACGAUGAGCUGGACGUUCGGCACGUCGCCGACCUGCC